CUUCACCGAGCCGAGCCACAGCGGCAGUCGCUGGUCUCGGCCUUGCCCGUAGGUCGCCAGCAGGGCGCCGGCCUC
rnacentral:antisense_RNA from 1 species